rnacentral:sRNA from 25 species
AUUCCCCUGUCGAUUCGAAGCUUUACGUUUAGUGCGUAAAAGGUUUAUGUAGAUGAGAUGGGGGAUU